AACGAACGCUGGCGGCAGGCCUAACACAUGCAAGUCGAACGCCCCGCAAGGGGAGUGGCAGACGGGUGAGUAACACGUGGGAACCUUCCCUAUAGUACGGAAUAGCCCAGGGAAACUUGGAGUAAUACCGUAUACGCCCGAAAGGGGAAAGAAUUUCGCUAUAGGAUGGGCCCGCGUAGGAUUAGCUAGUUGGUGAGGUAACGGCUCACCAAGGCGACGAUCCUUAGCUGGUUUGAGAGAACGACCAGCCACACUGGGACUGAGACACGGCCCAGACUCCUACGGGAGGCAGCAGUGGGGAAUAUUGGACAAUGGGCGCAAGCCUGAUCCAGCCAUGCCGCGUGAGUGAUGAAGGCCUUAGGGUUGUAAAGCUCUUUUGCCGGGGACGAUAAUGACGGUAC
rnacentral:rRNA from 1 species